UAGGGAAUUGUUCGCAAUGGGCGCAAGCCUGACGACGCAACGCCGCGUGGAGGAUGAAGGUCUUCGGAUUGUAAACUCCUGUCGUGUGGGACGAACAUUUGCUUUUCUAAUACAAGAGCAGACUGACGGUACCACGAAAGGAAGCCCCGGCUAACUCUGUGCCAGCAGCCGCGGUAAUACAGAGGGGGCGAGCGUUGUUCGGAAUUACUGGGCGUAAAGGGCGCGUAGGCGGCCUGCUAAGUCAUACGUGAAAUCCCUCGGCUCAACCGGGGAACUGCGUGUGAUACUGGCGGGCUUGAAUUCGGGAGAGGGAUGCGGAAUUCCAGGUGUAGCGGUGAAAUGCGUAGAUAUCUGGAGGAACACCGGUGGCGAAGGCGGCAUCCUGGACCGAGAUUGACGCUGAUGCGCGAAAGCCAGGGGAGCAAACGGGAUUAGAUACCCGCGUAGUCC
rnacentral:rRNA from 1 species